rnacentral:rRNA from 1 species
GAUGAACGCUGGCGGCGUGCCUAAUACAUGCAAGUCGAGCGAACAGACGAGGAGCUUGCUCCUCUGACGUUAGCGGCGGACGGGCGAGUAACACGUGGAUAACCUACCUAUAAGACUGGGAUAACUUCGGGAAACCGGAGCUAAUACCGGAUAAUAUAUUGAACCGCAUGGUUCAAUAGUGAAAGACGGUUUUGCUGUCACUUAUAGAUGGAUCCGCGCCGCAUUAGCUAGUUGGUAAGGUAACGGCCUACCAAGGCAACGAUGCGUAGCCGACCUGAGAGGGUGAUCGGCCACACUGGAACUGAGACACGGUCCAGACUCCUACGGGAGGCAGCAGUAGGGAAUCUUCCGCAAUGGGCGAAAGCCUGACGGAGCAACGCCGCGUGAGUGAUGAAGGUCUUCGGAUCGUAAAACUCUGUUAUUAGGGAAGAACAAAUGUGUAAGUAACUAUGCACGUCUUGACGGUACCUAAUCAGAAAGCCACGGCUAACUACGUG